UACGUAGGGUGCAAGCGUUAAUCGGAAUUACUGGGCGUAAAGCGUGCGCAGGCGGUUGUGCAAGACAGAUGUGAAAUCCCCGGGCUUAACCGGGGAACUGCGUCUGAUACUGGAUGGCUUGAGUUUGGGAGAGGGAUGCGGAAUUCCAGGUGUAGCGGUGAAAUGCGUAGAUAUCUGGAGGAACACCGGUGGCGAAGGCGGCAUCCUGGACCAACACUGACACUGAGGAGCGAAAGCCAGGGGAGCAAACGGG
rnacentral:rRNA from 1 species